AGCCUCUGGCCCCAUCACAGCUCAGAAUCGGAUGCCCUUAAGAAGGAUUUUUCGUGGCAUGGGCAAAAAGUUGACGUGUCCUUUUCAAAGGAUCAGCUCAGGCGGUCACCCUGUAAUUCUGAAAGCUGGCACCUACCAUUACAUUCUUGCUAGAUUUCAACUUCCCAGUGGCAGCCUCAGGGAGAAAAAAAAAAGGAAAGAAAGAAGGAAAGAAAGAGGAUAUUUCAAAAGCAAUGUCCAUUUGGGAUUAAAAGCUACAAAAGAGGGCACUGGGCUACGUGCUGGGGAAGAAAGACGAACAUGAAAAAGCCCCUGACCUCAUGCACAUCUAGAUUUGGACCAGCCGCAGUUGGACAAGUCCUCGCAGCCACCACACUGGAACAGCACAGGGAUUAGACCAUGAAAUGAGACCGCGGGGGGUUCAAAUCCCAGCCCUGCCACUUACUAGCUUCAUGAACUUCAGGCAAAGCCUUGAAUCCCCUUCAGCCUUCAUGUUUCCCAGACAGUGGGAUGGGAUUUGACCAUGGAAACUCUCUCUCAGGUUGUUUUUAAAGGUUAAGGUUAAUGCGGGCACCUGGAUGGCUCAGUCAGUUAAUCGUCUGCC